CAAAUAUUGGCUAAUGAAGUGGCAGCAACCUUAUCUAAAGGACACUCCUGACGCCUUGCUCGCGGCCGCAGCAGGGAGCAGGGAGGAUUAAUUCCCAGCAGGCAUCUGUUAAGAGACAGAAAGGAAAAGGCGGUGUUGGAGCUGGCCGAGGGCUUUAGCAGAGUCCUGCUGGAGCUGUGCAAGAACAAAGGAUGUCUGAAACACCGGCGCUUUAAAGGAAGGGGAAGAUCAUCUCGGGACCUGUUCGGCUCCAUCACCCCCAGGCGCCUUCAUCUCUGCCCUCCCCGCGAUUUGCUGCCUGCAGGCAGGAGGAUCCGUGCUCCAUACGGGGCUUGGAGUUGCAGCUUCUCGGAGCCACUUCAGACGGGAUGAGAGGGAUGCGCUCUCCAGGCUGCCAUGGGAAGUCCUUCAUUCCUGUCUCUGCCAAGCCUCUGAAAUGAUGCAAUCAGCUGGAGAUAACACUGCAGAGAACGCUGCUGCCGGGGUUUGCUGUCUGACCUUGAGAGGCCGUGUUUCCCCUCACCUUCCUGCCGACACAUCAGAGCUCACAUCUUAAUUACGCGCUGUGAUUCCGGUUCCCCUUCGCAGACGCGGCUCAGGGGAUGUUAACACGUGGGAUAGACAAGAUAACUACCUGCAGGGCAGCCCUGGAAGGGUCCUGGCGCAGGAUCAUCCCUCUGCCUCAGGGAAAAGGAGCCGUCAUCAUCUUCUCCUUCCAUCAGCUGCGGAGAGGACCAGACUGGUGACACGGAGCAGCCCCCAGCGAGGCUCAGCAUCACCGCUGUGUUUGACAGCGCUGCGAAGCAGUGAGUGUGACAGGCCAGAAGGGUUUAUUGGGAAAGCACUGAGUCAGUUGGAUGUGUUAAUGUUGAGGUCAACACUGGUUGAAUACGGAGGAAACCUCCCC